AACGAACGCUGGCGGCAUGCCUAACACAUGCAAGUCGAACGAGACCUUCGGGUCUAGUGGCGCACGGGUGCGUAACGCGUGGGAACCUGCCCUUAGGUUCGGAAUAACUCCCCGAAAGGGGUGCUAAUACCGGAUAAUGUCUUCGGACCAAAGAUUUAUCGCCUUUGGAUGGGCCCGCGUUGGAUUAGCUAGUUGGUAGGGUAAAAGCCUACCAAGGCGACGAUCCAUAGCUGGUCUGAGAGGAUGAUCAGCCACACUGGGACUGAGACACGGCCCAGACGGGUACGGGAGGCAGAAGGGGGGAACAUGCGACAAUGGGCGAAAGCAGGAGGGAGCGAAGGCGCGUGUGGGAAGAAGGUCGUUGGAUGGUAAAAAACGUUAAGUUGGGAGGAAGGGCAGUAAGCUAAUAACUCGCGGUUUUGAAGUUACGAACAGAAGAAGGAAAGGCUAACUUCGGG
rnacentral:rRNA from 1 species